rnacentral:lncRNA from 10 species
AGUUUCCCAGGCGGUGUCUCCGGGGUUGGGCACACGAGAGUAGCGGGCAGAAGCCAACGCAGGGUUGGGAUACGUGGGGCCACAGCCAGUCUCUGUGGUCCCCGGGUCUAGGCUUAGCACCAGUUACAGCAACCAGACAUCCAACAGGUGUUUAAACCUGUUUUUUCUGUAGGCUAAAUUCACAUCCGUUUGUCAAGAGGGGAUUGUCAACCUCUGUCCAGCGUCUCUUUCCGCUGCAGGACCAUCCCAAGAUGAACUUAAAGGACAGCCUUGAUGUGGCAAAGCCGGCGGACGCCAAGAAUGGCAAUUCCAUCCGCUUGGCUUUGACAGUGUCAGAAGCAUGAUGCCUGACGAUUGCGCAUGAGGGUCGGCCCCUUGCGGCAGCGGUGGGGUGCACUGCCUCCAUAGUACACCGCUGCCCGCUGCUUGGAUUCUGGUGGGCCCACCUCAUGCUGAUUUCCAACACCUGAGGUUGUGGGAGUUGAAGAGUUUCCAGUUGUGGCUCAGUCACUAACUAGUGCUGAGACUGCGAGGCACUUCAGCUCUCUGAGUGUCAGUUUCCUCAUCUAUAAAAUGGGGCCGAUAUCCUGCCCUUCCUACUCACCUAGGAGAGCGUAGGUAUGAAAGCCUUCCAACGUCCCCAGCAUAUGUAAGGGAUAACCUUUAUACAUUUAAUUAGAACCAAAUAGGUGAAGGCUGCAAAGAGCCAGGUGCUCAUUACUUUUAGGAAAUCUUCAGUACAUCUGUUCCCACACUGGGACUAUGAGCAGGUUUGCGGCAUGUAAGAGAAGGGUGAGGCAAAACUCCCUCAUCAGACUUGCCAUCAGGAUAAGGGUUACUAUUUAAUACCUAGUUGACUUGGCCCAAACUCAUUCACCUCCCUGGACCCCAACUGACCCCUAUACAAUAGAAUAGCAUUGCUGGUUUGGUGAGGUUAAAACCAGAAAAUUAUGUGGAGGUGCUGGUCAUUGUAAAACUACAAGAAAUUUGGAGUACUCUUGCCAUCUCCACAACUCAUGAUAAAUAAAAACAAAAAA